rnacentral:rRNA from 1 species
GAUGAACGCUGGCGGCGUGCUUAACACAUGCAAGUCGAACGAUGAAGCCCAGCUCGCUGGGUGGAUUAGUGGCGAACGGGUGAGUAACACGUGAGUAACCUGCCCUUCACUCUGGGAUAAGCAUGGGAAACUGGGUCUAAUACCGGCCAGGAGAGUCCACCGACUGGUGGGUGUUGGAAAGAUUUAUCGGUUUUGGAUGGACUCGCGGCCUAUCAGCUUGUUGGUGAGGUAAUGGCUCACCAAGGCGACGCCGGGUAGCCGGCCUUAGAGGGUGACCGGCCACACUGGGACUGAGACACGGCCCAGACUCCUACGGGAGGCAGCAGUGGGGAAUAUGACGCAGUGGGCGAGAGCCUGAUACAGCGACGCCGCGUGAGGGAUAACGGCCUUCGGGUUAUAAACCUCUUUCAGUAGGGAAGAAGCGAAAGUGACGGUACCUGCAGAAGAAGCACCGGCUAACUACGUG